ACUCAAUAGCUAACUUGACCAAUAAACCUAAAACAAAACAUAUUAAAACAUUCAACAGACCAGUAUUGGCGAUAGAAAAGCAAUUAACAAGUAAUAGAGAAAGUACCGCAAGGGAAAACUGAAAAAGAAGUUAAAUAAAACAUUUAAGUUUAAAAAAGCAAGGAUCAACCCCUGUACCUUUUGCAUCAUGAUCUAGCAAGUCACCAGAGGCAAAAAGACCUUAAGUCUCUCCCCCCGAAACUAGAUGAGCUAUUUAAAAGCAGCUUAUUAGAGCAAACCCGCCUAUGUGGCAAAAUAGUGGAAAGACUUUUAAAUAGAGGUGAUAAGCCUAACGAACCUAGUGAUAGCUGGUUGCUCAAUAAAAAAGUUUAAGCUUAACCUUAAAUAUUAUUAAAAUACCACAACAUAAAAAUAAAUAUUUAAGAGCUAUUCGCAAGGGGUACAGCCCUUAUGAAAAAGAAGACAAUCUAUAAAAAUGGAUAAUGAUUAUUUUUUCCAGAUCAAUUAUCAGUAGGCCUAAAAGCAGCCACCUAAAAAGAAAGCGUCAAAGCUCAAAUAACCUAAAAACUUAAAUUCAAAUAAAAAAUCAAAAUCCACUUAUCCUACUGAGCUAAAAUAUAUAAUUAUCUGUAUUAAUGCUAGAAUUAGUAAUAAGAAAAUACGAUUUUCUCUAACGCGAACCCAUAAAUCAGAUCGAACUGUUCCCUGAUAAUUACCGACCCUGUCAAUGGAAAUAUAUUUUUUAUUAUAAACAAGAAAAAAAUUUUACAUGAACUCGUUAACCCUACACAGGUUCGCACACAGAAAGAUAAAAAGAUAAAGAAGGAACUCGGCAAACAUAAGCCUCGCCUGUUUACCAAAAACAUUGCCUCUAGCAAAAUUAGUAUUAGAGGUACUGCCUGCCCAGUGACAUAGUUUAACGGCCGCGGUAUCCUGACCGUGCAAAGGUAGCAUAAUCACUUGUCUUCUAAAUAAAGACUAGUAUGAACGGCAAAACGAAGGCUAAACUGUCUCCUUUAUCUAAUCAAUGAAAUUGAUCUUUUGGUACAAAAGCCAAAAUAAAAAAAUAAGACGAGAAGACCCUAUGAAGCUUUAAACAUAAUAGAAAAUUUUAACAACGUUACACGCCAAUACCACUUCUAUAAAGUUUUUGGUUGGGGCGACCACGGAGCAAAAAAAUCCUCCGAGUACAACUGACCAUAGGGUAACCACCCAAGACAUCAGAACCAACUGCCAUUAUUGAUCCAAUUAUUUUUGAUCAACGAACCAAGUUACUCUAGGGAUAACAGCGCAAUCCUCUUUAAGAGCCCAUAUCGACAGGAGGGCUUACGACCUCGAUGUUGGAUCGGGGUAACCUAACAGCGCAACAGUUGUUAAAGGUUUGUUUGUUCAACAAUUAAAAUCCCACGUGAUCUGAGUUCAGACCGGAGUAAUCCAGGUCAGUUUCUAUCUAUUACGUAAUUCUUUCUAGUACGAAAGGACCGAAAAAAUAAGGCCAAUGUAAAACACACGCCUUUACUUAAUUAAUGAAAUCAACUAAAACAUGUACGACCAAUACCCUAAGACAAUGGGCU
rnacentral:rRNA from 1 species